rnacentral:rRNA from 1 species
CCUACGGGAGGCAGCAGUGAGGAAUAUUGGUCAAUGGGCGGGAGCCUGAACCAGCCAAGUCGCGUGAGGGAAGACGGUCCUAUGGAUUGUAAACCUCUUUAGGCGGGGAGCAAUGCCGGGCACGCGUGCACGGAGGGAGAGUACCCGCAGAAUAAGCAUCGGCUAACUCCGUUCCAGCAGCCGCGGUAAUACGGAGGAUGCGAGCGUUAUCCGGAUUUAUUGGGUUUAAAGGGUGCGUAGGCGGAUUUUUAAGUCAGCGGUAAAAUGUCCGGGCUCAACCCGGGCCGGCCGUUGAAACUGGGGAUCUUGAGUGGGCGAGAAGGAUGCGGAAUGCGUGGUGUAGCGGUGAAAUGCAUAGAUAUCACGCAGAACUCCGAUUGCGAAGGCAGCAUACCGGCGCCCGACUGACGCUGAGGCACGAAAGCGUGGGGAUCGAACAGGAUUAGAUACCCCUGUAGUC